rnacentral:tRNA from 1 species
GGUAAAAUGGCUGAGGUUAGGCGAUAAAUUGUAAGUUUAUUAACGAAAUUAAUUUCUUUUACCA